UACGGGGGGGGCAAGCGUUGUUCGGAAUUACUGGGCGUAAAGGGCUCGUAGGUGGCCAACUAAGUCAGACGUGAAAUCCCUCGGCUUAACCGGGGAACUGCGUCUGAUACUGGAUGGCUUGAGAUUGGGAGAGGGAUGCGGAAUUCCAGGUGUAGCGGUGAAAUGCGUAGAUAUCUGGAGGAACACCGGUGGCGAAGGCGGCAUCCUGGACCAACACUGACGCUGAUGAGCGAAAGCCAGGGGAGCGAACGGG
rnacentral:rRNA from 1 species